UACGAAGGGGGCUAGCGUUGUUCGGAAUUACUGGGCGUAAAGCGCGCGCAGGCGGUUUCUUAAGUCUGAUGUGAAAGCCCACGGCUUAACCGUGGAAGGUCAUUGGAAACUGGGAGACUUGAGUGCAGAAGAGAAGAGCGGAAUUCCACGUGUAGCGGUGAAAUGCGUAGAGAUGUGGAGGAACACCAGUGGCGAAGGCGGCUCUUUGGUCUGUAACUGACGCUGAGGCGCGAAAGCGUGGGGAUCAAACAGG
rnacentral:rRNA from 1 species